rnacentral:ncRNA from 2 species
CAAGAUCAUUAGGGGUGCCUUAACAAAACGGGCUGAGAUCAUACCCACAAUACCUGAUCCGGGUAGUGCCGGCGAAGGGAAAUGAGUAACCAAUACG